rnacentral:lncRNA from 1 species
AAUGUUUUUUUUUCCUAUCCAGUGUUUGGGAUUUCAUGACUUCUGGAUGGUCAAGAAGAUUUAAAAACAUUUUCUGCAAAUGACAGCUUUGAAGCAUUGAGAUGGGAGAAGGAUUUCAGAGAAAGGAGAAAGGAAGAAAAGAGAGUCAGCAUGCCUUACAAAAUUAUUAAACAUGGAAAAGAAAGUAUCUGGUACAGCAAAAUCCAUCAAAUAAGCACACCCAGGUCACAAAAGUGUGGAGGGGCUCAUUCUCCUGCAAUUCAGGAGUGAGGGAAAAGUAUCAGGUAAAGAAAAUACAGAUGCUACUGGCUGGAGCCUGAUCAAGAGGAAGAAAACUCAUGCUCCCAACUCAGUUCACACAUUCACUACCUGUGUAGCUCUGGACCAGUCUUUGAACAGCUCUGACUCGAAUGCAACGCUUAUAGCUUUCUUCAAAGAUAAUCAGACUCGUAUUAUUUUUCUACUUCACUUCAGCCCAGACUUGAUCUUGCAAGAAUCGAGUGAUGAAGGGCUACUUAAUUGAAUAGACACUUCUCAUUUAAAAGAUGAAGGGGGUAAGAAAAAAAAACAACCACAUCUUCUCACUCCUUCCAUUCACAUUAUUCAUGGAGCCUUGGAUGCCCCUUGAAGGUGCUCUGUGGGCUACUUGGUGAUAUCUGUAAUUCAAGGGAUCCAUUCCCUCCAAGGAGUGACCAUUAACAUGGAUCCAUUCAUACUCAUUGAUGUGCAAGUAAAGAAUAUCUCAGGUAAUAGCGAGGACCCAGAGGUGGUAGAAAUCUGGGAUGAGACUGAUAAAAUCACUGAUUGUAUGACCCUACAACAUGAGCUUUCACUCAACUCUUUUGAAUGAGGGACUCUGGUAAUACCAAUUGCUUAUUAUAGCUUUAGUCUCCAGAAGCAACAAAUGUAGGUUAGUAGUAAUGUAUUUUUAAAUAAUUUACAAAUGUACUUUAUGAAGGAGUAAAAUGGAAGGUAAAAAUAUUCCUAGUAAUAAAACACAGAGAAAAAUUCUUUUCCAUUUUAUUAUCAUCAACAUAGCAGCUAUUAUGUACAAAAUGAACAAAUACAGACCUUGCACUUUGCAAGCCUGAUUUCACUUCACAAGUAUUACGCCCAGG